rnacentral:rRNA from 1 species
AACGAACGCUGGCGGUAUGCUUAACACAUGCAAGUCGAACGAACAAAAUUGGGGCUUGCUCCAAUUUUAGUGAGUGGCAAACGGGUGAGUAACACGUGGGAAUCUACCUAUCAGUACGGAAUAACAUUUGGAAACAGAUGCUAAUACCGUAUAUUCUCCAAGGAGGAAAGAUUUAUCGCUGAUAGAUGAGCCCGCGCAAGAUUAGUUAGUUGGUAGGGUAAUGGCCUACCAAGCCGACGAUCUUUAGCUGGUCUGAGAGGAUGAUCAGCCACACUGGGACUGAGACACGGCCCAGACUCCUACGGGAGGCAGCAGUGGGGAAUAUUGGACAAUGGGCGAAAGCCGGUUCCAGCAAUACCGCAUGAAUGAUGAAGGCCUUAGGGUUGUAAAGUUCUUUUAGGUGGAAAGAUAAUGACGGUACCAACAGAAAAAGCCCCGGCUAACUCCGUGCCAGCAGCCGCCGUAA